rnacentral:lncRNA from 1 species
GUCAGAUUGCCAGUGGCAUCUACAGGGACACACACGAGCUAAAAAUCAACAAGAUGGUGCUUCUAGGUAUGAGAGGAGUGAUGGACAUGCUGGUUUGGCCAAAUAACCAGGUGUCCAGUGUAAGUUAGAAAGUGGCAACAUUUCUGUCAUGCCCACAAGGUGUUUGACAGAACGCUAGGGGCAAGCUAAAGGACUUUGAUGGAUUUGAAACUUGCCAGAUUGGGAUCUCUUUAGGUGCUAGAGAUGAUGGUGGAGUUAGUUUGGCAAGAUGAGAAACUUUCUAGUGCAAGUUUUACCAGAAUUCAGUUCUGGACAGAAACUUCAGAGAAGUGUUUGGUGGACUUGCAAGUUGAAAUUGAAGCUUCCCUUCUGGACUUAAGGUACUAGUUGGAAGGACUACAAUAUGGCAAAGUUUCAGAAUUAAUGGAGCUAGAAAAAUUAGGGUUGCAGUUAUAACUCAAGAAUGGGACAGAAUUUGAAAAGAGGAUGUUUCUCUCAAAAUUUUCAAAAGACAUAGUUAGGUUUUUGCUCAAAAGUGAUUUAUAGGCAUCACCCGACCUCUCACAAUUUUUGUGGGAUUUUAAAACAAUUAUUUAAAAUAAUUGUAGUGCAAUAGAAGCAUUUUAAGUAUUGAAAAUGCUUUUAAAAGUAUUACUUGUGGCAAAUUUUAUUAUGAAAAUAUUUCCCACUGUUAUUUAUGAUACAAAUGGAAAGGCUUAUAAAACAACCACAUACCACAACACUUCACAAAAAUAAUCUUCUAUGGAGGGGAGAAUUUUUUGUAAAACAGGAAAUAGAAAAGGCUUUGAAAUUAAUAAAUGACCUAGUAUAAUUCAAAAUUUUAUUUCUGGCCAAAUUUUACUUAAUAAAAUUUGAUUAAAAUUUUGGGGUGUUACAAACUCUACCCCCCUUAAGAAAAAUCUCGUCCUCGAGAUUUGUUAAGGGCAGAAGAACUGAAAAUCACAACAAAUGAUCAUAUGCAGAAUGCAGUCAUGGCAAUGCACUUACAUACGCCCUAAAUUACAAUACAGCGGUUGCAUCAUGUAUACUAGUGCUAGGUACAGCAACAAUGACCGUCUACAGUCUGAAGGUGAGAUCUACAGGGUCUUGUGGAAGGGUUCCCGAUGCUGGAGCACAUUCUUCUUCUUCCGGGGGAAGUGAAGGAAGUAAACGAAGAACACGCCCUUCCGGAGUUGGCCAUGGUGGUCCACCAAUGGCGAUAUGGGGAUUCAGCAUAGCAAGAUAAUGGAGGUAAUCCAUUAGUUGCUGGGUUAGAUGCUCCUGGGCCAUCACAUAUUGAAUGAGAUUGGCCAGAGUUGGAUCCCUCUCUAUGCGUUCACAACGGAACGUGGCUUCUGCUCCAAAAGCUGCGCGGCUCGGGAAAUAGUAGUAUUUCCUUUCACUGGCAGCGGGUAUAGUGAACCGAACACGGGUAACUGCUUCAUAAGCAGCAGCCUCAAUAGCCAUGCCUGAGGUUGGCAUGGAUCUCCCGACGAAGACAACAUAUGGAGGGUCUUGAUUUAAAUCCUCUCGUGGGAUGUGCACAACUGCCCAGUAUUUUGAGGAAUUAGGGGUGAUCCUCAUUUUGAACAACUCAUACUGGGGUGGGUUGCUGGAACCAAGGGUAUUGCGGGUCAGAUCCCACAAAACCUUAAUGAAACUACCAGGGCUUGCAUCUGGAGUUCGUAGGUAGACUCCAGGGUGAGACAUGGAAGGAUGAAUGGAGAAGAGCGGUGCUCAAGUGUGGUGGUGGCUGGUGUGGUGUAUGGAUAUGGCCCCUUAUAAGGUGCCUGGGCUAGGAAACACGAUGCGGCGCUGGCACGACUUGUGCAUCGGCUCCGACAUAGGGUUGUCCAAGUCAAAUUCUCGGACACCACUUCUCAAAAGGAGUGUGACAUAUUACUGUGCGUGUCGGCAGUCACAUCUAGCAUUUACUCUGUCGCCAUACACCAAUAAUUUACGCUAGAUCACACAUAGUACCAUUACAACAAUGGCACACAUGUAGUUGACAAGCUCACUAUGCCAUACGAUUGGUACCUUGAAAAUACAAGACAACAGGACUACUAAGAUUUGACAAUACUCCUGGUGGACUCAGUCCACCUCAUUGACAUCUAGCCGGGCGUGUCUUGCAGAUGUCGAGGCCUCUCCGUGAGCUUCAGUGUCGGAGUUGUUCGGGGUAGGAUGGGGAGCUAUAGUGCUGGAUAGCGAUGAUGCCCCUCGUGGGGUCUCGUGGUCACAAUCCCGUUGGAGUAGGUCUCCAAGAGACGACGGAGUUCUCCUGGGGAGGCAAAGGCAUUGUCGGGGUUGAUGAUAGGAGCAGACCUUGGGGGUUCAACUGGCCUCCCAAGUAGCAUUAUUGGGGUGUCGGUGUUGGUUGCAGCUUCACUCCUUACCGGUGUCAGGAGUGCAAUCGUCCUGCGGGUCGCAAUCAGAUCAUUGGUGACCUGAUCGAAUAGUGCCUCUUGCGCCCUCAGGUAGCGCACCAGAUGCACUAGAGCAGGAUCCAACUCAUGGUCACCGUUGGCGACUUGGGUCGGGCUACCAUAGCCUUCACGACUAGGGUAGUAGAAGAAAGGGCGGGUGUUAACCCUCGGCGACAAAUGCCGAAGAUGAACUAUACCCUCUCGGCUGCAAGUUGGAUGGCUUGGGGCUCGUCGGAGGUCAUCCUUCCGGUGAACCGGUAGGGGCGUUCUGAUGUGGUGCCCCUCCCGUAGAUGUGCACCGUGGCCCAGAAGUGAUGGAUGGCAUCACUUGUGUGUUCCUGGUACACAACAUAUUCUGGGGGUUCGUCUAUGCCAAAAGCACGAUGAGUGAGAUUGGCGAGGAUCGCUACAAAAUCUCCAAGCUCGGAUGCGGUGGUCUCGUUGCGGACGAUGGGACCAUGCAUCUUGGUGGUUUGGAAAUCAAGCUGCGAGUGAAGGCGAUGAUGUGCUGAGUAAGGGCAAGGCUUCCUUUAUAAGCCAGCGGAGUCUUCCAUCGCACGCUUGCGGAUGGGACAACUCAGGUGUCGGCCACGGGCGCACGGCCUAUGGCCUAGGACAAUAGGUUGGGCACCGACUAACAAAAAUCUGUCGGGUGGCCACUAUGCAGGCUAUCGGUUAGGAUGAGCUUGACGGUGGAUAGAAAAGGAUAUGGUCGGUGUGAAAACCUAGGGAUAGUGACCAGGCUAAGAUAGGAUUAGCCGGUGGUCAGCCUAGCUCUGAUACCAAGGUUGUCGGGGCCGGAUUUCCGGGACAUAAAUUCCCAGCAAACGACCCUUAUGUCACCACCAGCCCCAGGAUUACUGUUGCUGGUGGAUAUUUCCUUGAUACAGAAUUCCAAGAAAUUACAAGGAUUUGAGUACAAGACCUUAUAGGUCCAUUGAGUACAACAAUGAUUUCGAGUGGCAAAUAAUGGAAGCGACUCGUGGAUCUCCAACGCUGAUGGAACUCCAUUCCCACGGGAACAGCUGACCUGGAUAACUCCUAUCUCGCGCGGUUGCUAUCUCUGAAUCCUAGGUUGCGAGGUGGCUUCGUAGUACUCCUCUCUGAAUCAUGAUCUGGCCAAGACAAUAGCCAUGGACAAGCCAGUGAGUACGUUUGAAUGUACUCGCAAACAUCAAGAACAAAAGAUAUAGAGGAUGCAUAUGCUCAUGAUGAAUUAAAUUAUAUGCAUGUGCAGACUGAGAAUUCAAGCAUGGCAUGAAAAUAUUCAUACGGUGCAGAAGGAUAAAUUAGUCAUGUUAUUAGUAAAUCAAAGAAAUGAAACGGAACGUCGGGCGUUGGACCGCCCGAGAAAUUCCAAGAGAAAUGCCAAACGGGCGUCUAAAAGAGAAUCGGGCGAGACAGGACCGCCCGAGAACUCAAGCGAGACCACGAGAGGUCUUGAAAAGAAAUGCCAAACGAGUGUCUAAAAGAGAGUCGGGCGAGACAGGACCGCCCGAGAACUCAAGCGAUGCCACGAGAAGUCUUGAAAAUACACGGCACAGUCGGGUGUCUGAAGCGACGCCUCAUAAAGGGCUUAUAAGAAAAUAACAUGAGCAUUCAGGUGGACUAGCCAUCCCAAGAGAUACUCACAGUUGCACAUAAGAGGAAACGGUUAGUCCACAACAAUAUUCAUGUCAACAAUAAUAUUCAUAAUGGCACCAGCAGUGACAAUAAUUACCCUGCAGGACGAACCAUGAUCAAUUUAAUUAUUUCCUCCGGAGACUGACACUAAGGCCGACACUUGACCAACCCAGACUGUAGUCCUUAACCAUGGACAUGACUAUUCGAAUAGAUAUAAUUCUGCAGAGGGUGUACUCUUUACCCACAAGUAAAGGAUUUCUUUAGUCAACCCCGAGACGUUGACUAAUUCCGAUUACGGUCUUUGGGAUGAAAACACACCUGACCCGCACAUACCAGCUUUAAUCCAUCAAGCCAGGGAUCACCCAAAACAAUGAUAAAGUAAAAAUCUAAGUGGGAAGGCCUCAUGCAACGGCCUCCAACAGCAUGAACAUUCAGCUUCGGUCCCAGACCGGCCAUUCAUGCCCCCGGACCAAGUGACAUGACUACUGGGGCCAAUAGUACCAUUCCCUAUGGCCUCUCUGUACGGUGUGUGCAGGAAAGGGGUUAUCAACUUACUGAACCAUACCCUACCUUUGGCAGGAACAUGUGGUAGCACGAAUCAAGUAUGGGGGGUUACCGGAACAAGACUCGAUCUACGGUCAACUCAGGAGGUUUAAGUUUCCCUGCAAUGGUUAGCACAAUACAAUUCCUUGGCAUUACCCAACAGGGUCACCACCUAGUAUGUCUCAACAUACCCUCAUUGAUCAUUCUCCUCACGAACGAGAUUUCAGUCUCACGGUCACUUUUCUCGUGACUGAUUCUUCUUGCAAAUUAGCCUAGACCAACACAGGCAUAUACGGUACAUGAAAAUCACCAUACUCACUCAUACUUCAUGUUAAAAUGGAGAUAGAAUAUCAUCAAGGGGAAUCAUGCAUGUAUGACCAAUACUAUGCAAAUUUCAUAUGAGUUGAAUAUAUUCAUAAUUCAAUUCUACAUGCAAACAAACACUAUGCAUUCACCAUAUCAUGUGUUCAAGAUGCUUGCCUUGAGCAUGCAGAAAGAUUAGGCGCACUCCAAAACUUGGAAAUUAUAUCUCCCCUCCAUUUCCUAUUUUCAAAAUAUUAUAAUUACCACAUAAUUCUAAAACAACACAUAAAAGUUGUUUGUAAAAUUUUGAAAUAAAUACUAAAAUAAACUAGGUGAAUUUUGAAAAAUAACAGAAAAAGAAUCAAGUAAUUUGAAGUUCAUAUGAUUUUCCUAUGGAUUUACUAAGCUGGAAUAUUAAAGGAAAAUUGACUAUUUAGUAGAUCCAGCAAAAACCAGGACUAGGAAAAAUGUGCAACCUAUCUGGCUAAAUACAACAUGAUUUUGGAAGUAGGUAGAAAUUUGAAUAAUCGAAUUCGGAUGUGAAAUGGCUUCUGUGGAAUUAUUUGAAAUUUGCUGGAAAAGAAAAAGGAAACAGAGAUUACUGUGAUGGGCUGAGCAGAAACGCGCCCUGGGCGCAGUAUAGCCGCCUAGCGCUACUGGGCCGAGCCCAGUCGUUUGGCUGCGUGGGAGGGUUGCGACGUCGAAGGCGUCUUUACUAUUGUACGUUUUCCGGUGGAGGAGACGUACUUUGGGGAAAACGUCUCCACUUAAAAUGAGCUGGCACCGCGCUGAGUCACUGGCAGUGGGCCCGCCCGGCCCACUGGUCAGGUUUGACCAGUCCACGCGCGCGCCUCCUUCUCCGGCCGAACAGAGGCGGAGCUCCGGCGGUCGGCGCCGGCGAAAGGCGGCACCGUUUGGAAAACCGAGGCCUCCUACGAGCUCAGAAGGUUGAGGCGGACAUGUGGGUACCCUCCUUUGUCGCUGGAGUGGAGGGAGUCGCCGGCGGCGAGCUCACCCGAGGAGCUCCGGCGGAGACGAAUUGGGUGUUUCGCCUAUGGUGGCUCCCGGGCAAAAUUGAGUGUGGGGGUGGAUCAAUGGGUGCUCAAGGAGGCUAGUGGUGGAUAAACUUGUGAGAGGAAGGGCCGGACGGCGUCGGAACCAUCCGAACAGUGGCGGCGGCAGUAGUUGCCGGAAUCGGAGAAGACGACCUCCUCUGGUUGUGUUGCUGCAACGGGUGGGUCAGUGAGGGAGAGGUAGAGUGAUAUGGUGCUUUUCGAGGGCCUUGGGUGGCUUUUUAUAGGGAGGGGAGGGCAGUGCCGCGGGUUCCAGAGAUGAACACGUCGGCGGCGGCCAUUGAUGGCAAAGCGCGGGCGGUGGCGAGGUAGGAGUGGCCGGAGCGGUUAGGUACGGACGGUGGUCGUCCGUAUUUACCACGGGGUCGCGCUGGCUGGCUCGGGUGGCCUGGGCGGUGCCGUGCCCGAGCUGACCGCGGCGGCGGCCAUUCAAGGCGAGCGAGUGGGUGGUGGCGAGGCCGGUGUGUCGCUAGUGUGGCCGGUGAGCUGCGGAUGAGCUCGAGUCAUUGGCAAUUAAGCGAGAGGGGCUCGGGCAGAGACGUGGCCGUGCGGGACUCGUCGGGCGGCGGUCUUGGUCGUCGUGGACGGCGGUGGACGGCACUAGGGGCCAAGCGAGGGUGUAGGCGAUGUUCCUGGUGGUCGAGCUGAUCCGGAGGAGGAUCAGGAUGAGAAGGGGAGGCAACAGAGACACGGCAGGCGCUCGGUGCCGACGCGUGCAAAACACACGCUCUGGCCGCGCCCGGUGCACGCACGUUAGGUGUUCGUCAGAUUGCCAGUGGCAUCUACAGGGAGACACACGAGAUAAAAAUCAACAGGAUGGUGCUUCUAGGUAUUAGAGGAGUGAUGGACAUGCUGGUUUUGCCAAAUAACCAAGUGUCCAGUGUAAGUUAGAAAGUGGCAACAUUUCUGUCAUGCCCACAAGGUGUUUGACAGAACGCUAGGGCGAGCUAAAGGACUUUGAUGGAUUUGAAACUUGGCAGAGUGGGGUCUCUUUAGAUGCUAGAGAUGAUGGUGGAGUUAGUUUGGCAGGAUGAGAAACUUGCUAUUGCAAGUUUUACCAGAAUUCAGUUCUGGACAGAAACUUCAGAGGAGUGUUUGGUGGACUUGCAAGUUGAAAUUGAAGCUUCCCUUCUGGACUUAAGGUACUAGUUGUAAGGACUACAAGAUGGAAAAGUGUCAGAAUUAAUGGAGCUAGAAAAAUUAGGGUUGCAGUUAUAACUCAAGAAUGGGACAGAAUUUGAAAGGAGGAUGUUUCUCUCAAAAUUUUCAAAAGACAUAGUUAGGUUUUUGCUCAAAAGUGAUUUAUAGGC